CCGAGCAAAUUAAUAGAAAUAAAAGUCUUGAGCUACAAUAGAGAAGUGGCGCUCAACGCCAUUUCUUAUCGCCCAACACCUACCAAAGAGAAAGCACAACGCUUGGCAGCCUUGAGUUUCUCAUUAAGGCAAAGAACACAGAUAGCUCAUUGUCUUUGUAGUGCUCAAUGCCCUAGAGUUUAGUGGCUCUCUAACUUCGUGACACUCAGCGCCACUCUGUGCCCUUCAACACCAUACCAGAAAGCCAACAACUCUUAUUAUUGAUCUAUGUGUAAUGAACCAUUUCCAAAUGACAAAAUUGGUAUCCUAAUACUUGAAAUUAUUUGGGAUACAUGUUUAAACCUUGGUUUGGACAUCAA
rnacentral:lncRNA from 1 species